CUGUGGCCCGUCCCUCCCAAAAGGAUGUCCCAAAGCCUCCGACACCUCUAAGCCCUGUCUCUGUCAUUGUUGCUUCGCCUGCUGUGGAGUACUUACCAUACCACCGCAGCCCUCGCCUGGCCCCAAUCACCAACCUGAGUGAGAACGGCAGGAAGCUGCUCCAGAAAAUGUCAGGAGUGACGCCACAGGUUUCUCCAGUGGCUGCUGCCCAAACUGAGAUGUUCAAAGAAUUAAUGGCCAACGACUACUACAACGCACACACACACACAAACGCAGAGAUUGAGUUUUGCUUACUCCUCCAACAUAUAGAGAAACUUAAUUUCGGAAACAGGAACUAUGUUUAGCAAAAUACACAUUGGUCUCAUUGUUAUAUUUUGAGACAUGCACCAUUCUUUAAAAAAUUAAUUAAAAAAUAAUGAUAUUGCUGUCCAUGUUACUGUCCAUGUUCAGUCCAUAUUACUGUCCAUAUUGUCCAUGUUCAGUCUCACCUUGAUUGAUGACAGGAAUACAUGCAAUUAUAUUUCAUAUUACAAAUACAUUUCUUACAUAUCUCUUGGAGGGACAGAAAAUAAAUUAACAGAGGACAAUCAUUUUUACCUGGUCAAAAACCUCCACGUCCUUCUCAGUCUGUGCCUGAAGGUAGUACUCAACGGCGUUCUGAUCUGGUUCGACAACUUCCACCACAUCAGGUGGGGUUUCAGUGAUCUGAAAGUACGUUAUGCAAAAAUAGCAAUAGACCAACACUAAGUCAAUCCCAAUUUUGAAAGACUACAGUAUAUGCAAUAAUUGUAGAUACAAUUGCAUUGUUUACCUCAGUCAACAGCUGCGGCUCCUGUCCAUACUCAGCCUGGAUGCUGCUGUUGUGUGCAAAGAGAAUUACCUUCAGGUUGUUCUCCCACCCUUCCUGAUACCAAUCAAGAGACUUGCCCAUGGCAGUCUUGAGGGUCUGGUUGGUCAUUCACCAAACCUGGAGGAAGGGGUAGGAAAGCAAUAUCUAUUGACAAUGUACUUUAAGAUAUUGAAAUAUAUCUGAUUGUGUACCAUGG
ensembl:lncRNA